GGGUGAGUAACACGUGGAUAACCUACCUAUAAGACUUGGAUAACUUCGGGAAACCGGAGCUAAUACCGGAUAAUAUUUUGAACCGCAUGGUUCAAAAAUGAAAGACGGUCUUGCUGUCACUUAUAGAUGGAUCCGCGCUGCAUUAGCUGGUUGGUAAGGUAACGGCUUACCAAGGCAACGAUGCAUAGCCGACCUGAGAGGGUGAUCGGCCACACUGGAACUGAGACACGGUCCAG
rnacentral:rRNA from 1 species